AUUAUCAUUGUUGCUCGAGUUCUUGUUUAGAUCUUUUAAAUAAUGUGUAUCUUUAAUGAAGAUGUGCGCUUAAUUGCGCUGCUUUAUUAGAGUGUCGCAGUAGAAGUAGUCUUGCUUGAAUCUCAGUCAACGUUUACACACAUUGGAGUUUUUUUACUUUAAUUUAAUUUUUUCUGCUUUGAAUCGAAUGGUUCAUGGCAAAAAACAAACUCAAACAAUUUUAUUUUAUUAUAAUUUUUUAAACUAAACCAAAAUUCCUAACGCAAAUUUUAAAAUAAUUUAAAACUUUCAACAACGCAACUCUAGGUUCUCGCAUCGAUGAAGAACGAAGCGAAUUGCCAUAAGUAAAGUGAAUUGCAGAUACUCGAGAAUCAUUGAAUUUUUGAACGCACAUAGCGCCCUUGAGCAUUCUCAUGGGCAUGCCUGUUUGAGCGUCAUUUCCUUCUCAAAACAAAUUUUUAAUUUUUAGGUUGUGGCCCAUACUCAGGGUUAGCUUGAAAUUGCAGACAGUUUCAGACUUUUUUAAUUCAUCACUAAGCUACUUUGCAGACGCUGUACUCGCUGUGAAGUAUUUAUGGAUUUAUACGUUUUACUUUACAAGGGAAAUGGUAAUGUACCUUAGGCAAAGGGUGCUUUAAUAUUCAUCAA
rnacentral:misc_RNA from 1 species